GAAGGCAUAGCUCAGUAGUAGAGAGUGUGCUUAGCGUGCAUGAGGUCCUGGGUUCAAUCCCCAGUACUGCCA
rnacentral:tRNA from 1 species